UACAGAGGGGGCAAGCGUUAUUCGGAAUUAUUGGGCGUAAAGGGUGCGUAGGCGGGCUGCCAAGUUUGAGGUGAAAUCCUCCGGCUCAACCGGGGAAGUGCCUUGAAUACUGGCGGUCUGGAGGGAGGUAGGGGCGUGCGGAACUAACGGUGGAGCGGUGAAAUGCGUUGAUAUCGUUAGGAACUCCGGUGGCGAAGGCGGCACGCUAGACCUCUUCUGACGCUGAGGCACGAAAGCCAGGGAGACGAACG
rnacentral:rRNA from 1 species